AACGAACGCUGGCGGCAUGCCUAACACAUGCAAGUCGAACGAUACCUUCGGGUCUUUUGGCGCACGGGUUCGUCACGGGUCGGGACCUGCCCUUAGGUUCGGACUACCUUCCCGCAAGGGGCGCUAAUAGCGGAUAAUGUCUUCGACCCAAAGAUUUAUCGACUUUGGAUGGGCCCGCGUUGGAUUAGCUAGUUGGUAGGGUAAAAGCCUACCAAGGCGACGAUCCAUAGCUGGUCUGAGAGGAUGAUCAGACACACUGGGACUGAGACACGGCCCAGACUCCUACGGGAGGCAGCAGUGGGGAAUAUUGGACAAUGGGCGAAAGCCUGAUCCAGCAAUGCCGCGUGAGUGAUGAAGGCCUUAGGGUUGUAAAGCUCUUUUACCCGGGAUGAUAAUGACAGUACCGGGAGAAUAAGCGCCGGCUAACUCCGUG
rnacentral:rRNA from 1 species